GUCCACAGCAUGGAGAAAUUGGAUAUGAAGCAGACUUGUCUCUGUGCACUUCUAAGAAUGUAUUCUGGGAGCUCAAGAGUUCAAAGUCUUGACAGGAUGUAACGUGAGGAUGUUAUGCAGUUUGGAUGGAUAAUACUUUUGGAGAUGGAGAUGGAGGGCAAAAUCCAUAAUUUGUAGAAAUGGACAAUACAGGCUAGACGUAAAGGGUACCAUGUUUUUGCAGGCCUGAAG